rnacentral:rRNA from 1 species
AUUGAACGCUGGCGGCAGGCCUAACACAUGCAAGUCGAACGAGUGGCGGACGGGUGAGUAAUGUCUGGGAAACUGCCUGAUGGAGGGGGAUAACUACUGGAACCGGUAGCUAAUACCGCAUACCAUCGGAUGUGCCCAGAGGGGAUUAGCUAGUAGGUGGGGUAACGGCUCACCUAGGCGACGCUCCCUAGCUGGUCUGAGAGGAUGACCAGCCACACUGGAACGGAGACACGGUCCAGACUCCUACGGGAGGCAGCAGUGGGGAAUAUUGCACAAUGGGCGAAAGCCUGAUGCAGCCAUGCCGCGUGUAUGAAGAAGGCCUUCGGGUUGUAAAGUACUUUCAGCGGAGAGGCGUUACCCGCAGAGGAAGCACCGGCUAACUCCGGGCCAGCAGCCGCGGUAAUUC